CUACUAACAUGUUUCAUACCAAUCCACACUUCAAAUAUCAUUACCAAAACAUAGCUCAUAUGUUUAUCUGCACUCCAACCAUUACCAAAACAUGCCAUUAUCAAUAAGCAAUUACCAUUCAUAUUAUACUUUCAUACCAAAAUUGCAUAUACCAUAUAUAUACUCAUCAACUUCCAAAAUCACAUUCCAAACAUAGCUACAUAUAAGAAGGACUCUACUAGAUACAUGCCAUUAAAGUAGCAAAGGAAAGUCACCAACUUUGUUGAGUCCAGGAUUCUGUCUAGAUGUAGAAGUUGAUGCUCGAGACUCGUAUUUAACCUAUCCUACGCACAGAAAACAAAAUUGUACGUUCAGUAAUAAACUCAAUGGUAUUUCUACAAUUCAAUUAAUAAAGCAUGAAAUGAAACCAAUGCAUACAAUCCAUUUUGAUUUCAAAUAUCAACUAAUGUAUGCACAUCGAAUUCAACGCUCAUCCAAUGUAUCAUUAUAUACAUAUUCAUAUGCUAAAAUAUAUACCAAUUUCAUUAUAUGAAUUAUACAUAUAGUAAUUCAAUUGAUCAAACUAUACGACUAUUUCAUACCAACAUCUUAGUGCCAAUGAUCUUAAAAAAUCUAUUCAAUUUCGCAACACAUGAACAUAAUACUUCAUUUCUAAAUCAAGUCAAUUCAAUAACAUUUUUCCAUAUAGGCCCUCAGGCUUGUAAACUAGUUCGCAUGAUCUUUCACAUGCUAUCGAUAUUUGUAUAUCGUAUAUCAUCUAUAUAAUACCAAUUCACAAUAUCAAUUAAUUUCAUAUACCCAUUAUCAACUUUAAAAUUUAUACCCCAAUUAACUUGUCUCAGAUUUAAACAGAUACAUGGACCCAACCAAUCACACCAAUUUGGCACCUAGUGCCUUAUCGAACAAUUCUAAAAUAAAUUAAUAAAUUGCAUCCAACGCUCAUCGAUAAAAUCAAAGUAAAAAUGUGCCCAGCACUCAUUGACUCAUAGUCAAAAUAACCUGUACUCAAUCUAUCCUAUGGCAUGCCAACUAUAUCCGACUCUGCCCAAACAGUCAACAGGGUAACCAUUACUCAAUUCCAAAUAUAGCUCAAUUUCAUAAUUCAAUAUUUUCAUUUCAUCAUCCAAUCAUCAAUUUCUAUAUAUAACAUCAUAAUUCAUCCCAAUACAAAGUAAAUUUUACAUUUACAUCAAGAUACAAUAUUUUCAAAUCUAUUCAAUUUAGUCCACCAUCUCAAAUAAACAAUCGAAUCAUAUCAAUUCAACUUGAUUUAUCAAUUUCAGCUCACCUCAUAAUCUUACCAUGCAAAACAAAAUAUAUAUGCAAUAAUUGAAGUGGUUCAAAAUAUAGAAAUACAAACUGGACUCUUAACUAUUUGUCGACGACUUUAGCUUUUCCUUUCCCUCUCGAGGAAUCUGGGUUGACAUUAGCUACGGAUUAACAUAAACAUAAAACUAGAUAUGCUCAUUGGUCAGGUAGAGCUGGGCCCGAGUCGAGCCAUAACAUAAUUUUAGGCCCGAUUGUUAGGCCCAGGCUCGGCCCUAAAAGUGGACCUAAUUUUUUGUCCAAACCUAGCCCAAAUUAUUGAUGUCAAGCCAAAGCCCAUAUUAAAUUUUUUGUUCUUAAAACCCUAGAGAAAAGAACCAAGUUUAGUUAAAAAUAAAUAAUAAUUAAAUAAGCCUAUAAGAGAUACAAAGAUCAAAUGAAGAAUCAAGAACAAUAGUUCAUAAGCUUCUAAUAUGGUAUGAAGCCAGCAUAUCACAAAACUCAAAUGCACAGACAAGUUGAUGCAAUACAAGCCUCUCUAGGAAAAGUGAUACGACAAUAAUAACUUUAGCAUGAUAAUGUAUCCAUUUUGAGGUUUGCAAUAUGCAGCAAAACCUAGUUUAUACUCCUAAGAAGAGAACAAAGCUAUUGUAAAAAAUAAUAUCAUGCCUACAAAGGAGACAAUGAUCAAAUGAAGAAUUAACCAUGGGAACAUCCUCUAGCCAAACAAAUUUUCACAUUAUCAUCUCCAUUUCAAAAAUUAGCAGACAAGGCAACUACUAAAGUAAAUAAGUCUAAACAUGGUGGUUGCUAAAGUAAAUUGCAAUAGACUAUUACAACUCAAUACCAAUACAUUAUAAUGUUUAAAUACGAUUUCAUGUUUUAUAUUUUAUAAAGAAUCAAAUACUAAUUCAUAUAGUUUGACAUUGUCAAGAGAUUAAAAAUAAAAUAAAGGUUCUACGAUAUCCAAACAAUAUUAAAAGUGGUAGCGGAACAAGAUUAAAAGCAUCAGCGGAACAACAUUACAAACAGUAAUGAAACAACACAAAAAAUAGCCUGCAAAAUGUAAUCAACCAACCAACAUAUCCAUAUAUCAACCAAUCAACCAAAAUGCCCACAUUUAAAGUGCAAAAAAAAAAAGAAUCAAAACUUUAUAAUGCCCCAAAUGUAAUAAAAGAUAAUAAAAAAAUUAUCACUUUUGAUUUGAGAAUACAACUUAUUAUGUGCUUAUCAUGCUUUCUCCUAUAACUCGAGUAUCUUUCUUCGACAUUGUGUCCUUCGGGUUCUUUUUAAUGCUAACAAUCAAUCUAGCUGACAUAGUAUGGAAUAAGGGUAAAUAAUUUAAGCUGAAAAUUAAAGUUACAAAGUUUGAGUCUUAAGAACUAGGAUAAUCCCUUUCUAACCUUUAACAAUUACCCACUUUUCUAAAAACUUAAAUCACAUGUAUAUUAGUAUGAAUGUCCAACACCCUACAUCAAUGGCAAAAAAAAAGUUCAUAGCUUUUGAGACACUUUAACAGUGAAUUCAAGCUUUAAAUAGCUGGGAACCUUUAAACAAUGAAUUCCAACACCCUACAUCAAUGGCAAAAAAAAAGUUCAAGGUUUAAAAAAAAUAUGUUAACUCCAGUAAAGUAGUAGAACCUUUAAAUAACUAGGAAUUCAAGCUUUUGAGACACUUUAACAGUGAAUUCAAAACUUAAAAUUCAUGUAUCUCUCAUUCAAAGAAUAGACCAAAGACACAUUCUUUAACAAUGAAUUAAAUAUAACAUUAAACAUUAAAAAAAACAAAACGAUGCAUCAAGUGUUUGAAGAACGAAAAGAACUCACCAAUUAAUCAAGAAAUUAAAGAAGCAAAAACCCAAUAAGAAAAUUUGAUUUGCUGGCAACUUCGAGGACAAGCAGGAUUAAAUAUAGGACUGAAAAAAACAUAGAUUCUCUUGAAGCCACGAUUCAAAUUUCAAGAAACUUAUUUUUUUCCAAUAAGCGAAUUCGAAAAAAAUUCAGGAAUAACAACUAUGAAAAUAAGGGCUUCUGUUAGUAAAAUAUAUGAAAAAUGUCGCCUAAUCCGUAGAAGGGGACGAAUUAUCGUAAUUUGUUUUAACCCGAGACAUAAACAAAGACAAUGAUAACCUUUCUAUUCUAAAAAGAACUCUUGAAAGAAAAGAAACUAAUCUUAAAGAAAGCCAUAAACAAAUAAAAAUAGAAGAUUUGUUUUGACAUGAAAUGGAUAUAUCCAUAUAUCUCUGACUUAUCUUUAUGAAAUGAUAAAAUAUGUCAAAACCUGUACCAAAAGUUGGUUCACGUAGGAAUGGGCGCAUUAGUGCACUAAAAAGUGCACGUAGAAUACCAAAAGGAGUUAUUCAUGUUCAAGAAAGUUUCAAAAAUACCAUUGUUACUGUUACAGAUGUACGAGGUCAGGUAAUCUCUUGGCCCUCCGCCGGCACUUGUGGAUUCAAGGGUACAAAAAGGGGGACCCCUUUUGCUGCUCAAACCGCAGCGAGAAAUGCUAUUCGAGUAGUAGUAGACCAAGGUAUGCAACGAGUAGAAGUUAUGAUAAAGGGUUCUGGUCUCAGAAGAGAUGCAACAUUACGAGCUAUUCGUAGAAGUGGUAUACUAUUAAGUUUCGUACGGGAUGUAACCCCCGAUGCCACAUAAUGGUUGUAGACCCCCUAAAAAAAGACUUGUGUAGACAUAGAAUUGGAUGAGAUUGACUAGCGGCACAAUGGGACGACGACGGCUGAAGGUUGGAGCGAAGAAGGAGAUGACAGUAGCGAACGCCGGUGACAGAGGAAGCAGUAGCUUCACUGGCUGGUGAGCGACACAAUGUCACCUAAGGAUUUUUGGUGAAAAUAGGAACUGAUUUGGGGGAUUUGGAAAUAAUGGUAAAGAUAAAAGUACACGGUUGUUGUAUUGUAAAACACACAUAAGGGAUUAAAGGGGUAGGGCUAAACAAUGCUUACCCAAAGCCCAGUCCAUUUAGAAAACGAGCUUAAUUUUUUUCCAAACUCAUUUUUCAGGUGGGCCUUCGGGCCAAGUGACCCGACCGAUGAUCAGGUCUGCAUACAACUAAAUUCACAAUCAAUUUUUAUUUUAUACAAAUUUUGCAUUUUAUUCAAUUUAGUCCCUAAAACCGAGACUAACAUAACAUUCUACUUAAAACUCCAACCUGAAAUUUGAUUUCACUAUUAUCCAUUAUGAACCUCUUAUUUUUUUAUUUCUACAACCAAUUUUACAAUUUAUGUAGUUUAACCCUAAUGUACGAAACUAUCGGUUAGCUUUACAAUUUAAUUCCUUUUCACAUCCAAGCUUAAAAUAUAUCAAUUUAAUACUUAAAAAUUCAAGAAAUCAUCAAUGAAAACUUUCUAAAACUUUAACAGUUUUACAAAUUGGUACAUGGACUAGCUAAAUCAAGUUCUCAUGACAUCAAAAACAUAAUAUUACAAGAAAAAGACUAAAUUGAACUAACCAAUUGAAGGUUUAAAACUUCCAACCCUAGGUUGACACUCUUCUCUCCUUCUUCUUUCUAUAUUCGGUUUUCAAUAAAUGAGAGAUAAAAUUUUCCUCUUUCUUUCCAUUACAUUGUUUUAAUUUAUAUAUUUUACAUUUUAAUUAAUUUAAUUUUAAUAUUAAUAUUAUUUAAUCAAAACCAUUCCACCUAUCGUCCAUUAUAUUUAUAAAUGGUCCAUUUUUCAUUUUAGACCUUAGGUUAAUUGCAAUUUAAGCCAUAAAUUCAUUUCUUAAUUAAAAAUCUAUAGUAAUUAAACUUUACAAUUUAGUCCCUGAACCCUAAUUAACUAUCAAUUCGGCAAAAAUUACCUAUCCAAAAUUCAAUUCAACUAUAACAUGAAUUAUUUAUGGACUCGAUUUAAGAACAUGGGGUCUCGAAACUGUAUUUUUCAACAUCAUUGACUUUCAGAUUGUUACAACUCUCCCCUUUUUAAGAAAAUUCAUCCUCGAAAUUUACUUGAAAAGAGGUAGGGAUAUUGGGAUCUUAUUGCCUCUUUUAAUUCCCAAGCCACCUCUUCCACACUAUGAUUGCGCUACAAAACUUUUACAAGUGGAAUGCAUUUAUUCAUCAAUUCUUUAACUUCUCGUACCAAAAUUUCAACUGGUUCCUCCUCAAAAGAUAAGUCAGGUUGAAUUUUGAUUUCUUUCACCUAAAUAAUAUCAAAAGGAUCUAAAUGAUAUAUCUUGAGCAUGUAUACAUGAAAUAUGUAACACGUCAUACCUGGCCUAGCAUUACGGUCAGAUUAUGCAGGUCACAUUGCUAGAUAAAGAAAAAUAUUGUUUGUUUUAAAGAAAACCAAUUCUAGUAGGUUGAAAGUUCCACUAUCUCGCUAUUUUGUAAAACAUUUUAAUCAUGUCGAAAGACCAAGUUAAAAUCUCCAUAACCAUAGCAUGCCAAAAUCAUUUUUAAUGAAAACCUCAAACUUAGUUUGUAGCGGCAAUUACUUAAAAACUUACUGUUUCAUUUUAGUCACCUUAGGUAGGAUUAUUAACCAUUUGGGCUUUGGCAAAAUGAACCAUUUUAGUCUUAAUGAACUAAACAAAUCAUAAAUUGUCCAAAAGCUAACAACCCAUAAUAAAGUUUGAAAUUUCCAAUUUAAACAAAUAAAAAAAACCAUAAAAUAUUGUAUUACAAAUGUAAAACUUGAGUCUCCAGUGAUGUCGUCUAAUGCUAAGCCGGAGGAUAACCUAAAACAAAACAUACAGGAAUGUGAACUAAUAGCCCAGUGUGCGAUAUGGACCAUAGUCCAAAAUCAUACAUUUCAUAUACAUCAAUUAUAUAACAAAAUAUCACAUAAUGUAUUUAUUCCAAAUGUUUCAUAUUAUAUCAAAUUCCAUACAGUUUAUAGCUUAUCAUACUAUAGCAUAAUAUGCUAGAUCAUAUCGGACAUAUCAUAUCAAACCAUAAAAUGCAUAUCAAAACCUGCACUCAUCCGCUACAGACUAUCUCCGUCCAGCCAAUCACACCAUAUUGGACUACAAGAGUCCAUCCAUCCAAUCACACCAAUAUGUGGCGGGAUUCCACUUAUAUAGUUGAACGGAGCUGUCAUACAUAUAGAGUUGCGAUCUGCCGCCAUAUUUGCAGUAUGUACUGCCAUAAACACUUCCUCCAUCAUACAUAUCCCACCCCAAACAUAUACAAAUCAUACACAUGUCUUAUACAUGUCAUAAUCAGAAACAGACGACAUAUUCCCAUAUAACAUAUGUUACAUGACAUGCUUACUUACAUAGUUUCUUUAACACAUAUCAAAACUAUUAGUUUUAUUCUAGUUUAACAUAUUUACCAUGCUUUUAGAGUUAUUCGCACGAACUUAAGUACAAAACUUACAGUUUUCCGACCCUUACAACGUCCUCAGACUCAAAUGUCAAUUCCCCUAAAUGACCCUUAAUUGGGCCUUAAAAUUGUCCCAAAAGGCCCACACUGCCCAAAAGCCUAGCUCAUGUGGUCCACACGCGCCACCCACACGGUCUGCAAAGAUUCACACAGCCGUGUGUUCUACACGGCCUAGCCACAUGGGUUACGCAAUCUCACACGGUCAUGUGCUACACACAGUCUGCAUAAAUCCCACACGUAGCACAAAGCCACUACAU
rnacentral:lncRNA from 1 species